UACAGAGGUCCCGAGCGUUGUUCGGAUUCACUGGGCGUAAAGCGUGCGCAGGCGGUCUAUUAAGACAGGUGUGAAAUCCCCGGGCUUAACCUGGGAACUGCACUUGUAACUGAUAGGCUUGAGUGUGGCAGAGGGGGGUGGAAUUCCAGGUGUAGCAGUGAAAUGCGUAGAUAUCUGGAGGAACACCGAUGGCGAAGGCAGCCCCCUGGGCUAACACUGACGCUCAUGCACGAAAGCGUGGGGAGCGAACAGG
rnacentral:rRNA from 1 species